rnacentral:pre_miRNA from 1 species
AUCAUAGUCCCUCCGUACGGAAAUACUUGUAAUCAAAAUGGAUAAAAGGGGAUGUAUGUAGACAUAUUUUAGUUCUAGAUACAUCUCUUUCUAUCCAUUUUGAUGACAAGUAUUUUUGGACAAAGGGAGUAGUAG